rnacentral:rRNA from 1 species
AGAGUUUGAUCCUGGCUCAGAUUGAACGCUGGCGGCAUGCUUUACACAUGCAAGUCGAACGGCAGCACGGGAGCUUGCUCCUGGUGGCGAGUGGCGAACGGGUGAGUAAUGCACCGGAACGUACCCAGUAAUGGGGGAUAACACAUCGAAAGAUGUGCUAAUACCGCAUACGCCCUGAGGGGGAAAGCGGGGGAUCGUAAGACCUCGCGUUAUUGGAGCGGCCGAUGCCGGAUUAGCUAGUUGGUGAGGUAAGAGCUCACCAAGGCGACGAUCCGUAGCUGGUCUGAGAGGACGACCAGCCACACUGGGACUGAGACACGGCCCAGACUCCUACGGGAGGCAGCAGUGGGGAAUUUUGGACAAUGGGCGAAAGCCUGAUCCAGCCAUGCCGCGUGAGUGAAGAAGGCCUUCGGGUUGUAAAGCUCUUUCGCAAGGAAAGAAAA